CAGAACUCUCUAAUAACUAAAGUUCCUUGGGUAGAGAAAAAGAAGAAGCUUGGACUACAAUGGCGGACCUGUGCAAAUAUUCAGGACUUAUGCAGAUCCCAAAUACACAUCAGCAGGUACCAGAAGGGUUUUGCCUGCAGGAAUACAAC